CGUAGAAGACUAGUGUUAUUCAUCUUUAGUAGGUUUAAAGGGUACCUAGACGGUAUAAUUAGUCUUUAUUAAGAACGGUUAUACUAGAGUUAUAUAUGAGGAGGAGAGUAUUUGUGGAGUAGAGUUGAAAUUCUUUGAUACCAUGAAGACUGGUAAAGGCGAAGGCAACCUCUUAUCUAAUAACUGACGUUGAGGGACGAAGGCUCGGGUCGCGAACAGGAUU
rnacentral:rRNA from 1 species